rnacentral:rRNA from 1 species
UAGAGAUAGAUCAGGCCUUCGGGACGAGAAGAGACAGGUGGUGCAUGGUUGUCGUCAGCUCGUGUCGUGAGAUGUUGGUUAAGUCCCGCAACGAGCGCAACCCUUAUCAUUAGUUGCUAACAUUCAGUUGAGAACUCUAAUGAGACUGCCAGUGAUAAACUGGAGGAAGGUGGGGAUGACGUCAAAUCAUCAUGCCCCUUAUGACCUGGGCUACACACGUGCUACAAUGGCCGGUACAAAGAGUUGCGGAACUGUGAAGUUAAGCUAAUCUCAUAAAGCCGGUCUCAGUUCGGAUUGUAGUCUGCAACUCGACUACAUGAAGUCGGAAUCGCUAGUAAUCGCGAAUCAGAAUGUCGCGGUGAAUACGUUCUCGAGUCUU